rnacentral:rRNA from 1 species
GACGUGACUUCAGAGUUUGAUCCUGGCUCAGGAUGAACGCUGGCGGCGUGCUUAACACAUGCAAGUCGAACGAAGCACUUACCAAGGAUUCCUCCGGGAUGACUAGUAAGUGACUGAGUGGCGGACGGGUGAGUAACGCGUGGGUAACCUACCUCAUACAGGGGGAUAACAGUUAGAAAUGACUGCUAAUACCGCAUAAGCGCACAGUACUGCAUGGUACAGUGUGAAAAACUCCGGUGGUAUGAGAUGGACCCGCGUCUGAUUAGCUAGUUGGUAAGGUAACGGCUUACCAAGGCGACGAUCAGUAGCCGGCCUGAGAGGGUGAACGGCCACAUUGGAACUGAGACACGGUCCAA